rnacentral:misc_RNA from 1 species
GAUGAAGAACGUAGCGAAAUGCGAUAAGUAAUGUGAAUUGCAGAAUUCCGUGAAUCAUCGAAUCUUUGAACGCAUCUUGCGCUCCUUGGUAUUCCGAGGAGCAUGCCUGUUUGAGUGUCAUUUAACUUCUCAACCACAUUGGAUAUUUUUUUUCCGAUGCCGGCUUGGAUGUGGGGGUUGUUUGCAGGCUUUUUGUAACAAAAAAGGUCGGCUCCCCUGAAAUGUAUUAGUGGUAUCUGAGGCUAUUACUAUUAGGUGUGAUAAUUAUCUAUGCCUUUUGGGUAUGCCGCAUGAACAGAUUAUGCUGCUUCUAACGAAAACUAUUUUGAUGAAUUUGACCUCAAAUCAGGUAGGACUACCCGCUGAACUUAAGCAUAUCAAUAAGCGGAGGA